AACGAACGCUGGCGGCAGGCUUAACACAUGCAAGUCGAACGCCCCGCAAGGGGAGUGGCGCACGGGUGAGUAACGCGUGGAUAUCUGCCUUUUGGUUCGGAAUAACCCCGGGAAACUGGGGCUAAUACCGGAUGGUUCCUACGGGAUAAAGAUUUAUCGCCAAAAGAUGAGUCCGCGUACGAUUAGCUAGUUGGUGAGGUAAUGGCUCACCAAGGCGACGAUCGUUAGCUGGUCUGAGAGGACGAUCAGCCACACUGGGACUGAGACACGGCCCAGACUCCUACGGGAAGCAGCAGUGGGGAAUAUUGGACAAUGGGGGCAACCCUGAUCCAGCCAUGCCGCGUGAGUGAUGAAGGCCUUCGGGUUGUAAAGCUCUUUUGGCGGGGACGAUGAUGACGGUACCCGCAGAAUAAGCCCCGGCUAACUUCGUG
rnacentral:rRNA from 1 species